AUUGAACGCUGGCGGCAGGCUUAACACAUGCAAGUCGAACGAGUGGCGCACGGGUGAGAAAUGUCUGGGAAACAGCCUCACAGAGGGGGUUCACUACCGGAAACGGUAGCUAAUACCGCAUACCAUCGGAUGUGCCCAGAUGGGAUUAGUUAGUAGGUGGGGUCAAGGCUACCCUAGGCGACGAUCCCUAGCUGGUCUGAGAGGAUGACCAGGCCCACUGGAACUGAGACACAGUCCAGACGCUUACGGGAGGCAGCAUUGGGGAAUAUUGCCAAAUGGGCGCAAGGCUGAUACGGCCGUGCCGCGUGUAUGAAGAAGGCCUUGGGGUUUUGAAAUACUUUCGGUGGUGAGACCUUACCCGCAGAAGAAGCACCGGCUAACUCCGUGCCAGCAGCCGCGGUAAUAC
rnacentral:rRNA from 1 species